rnacentral:rRNA from 1 species
CGUGUAGGCGGUUUGGCAAGUCAGAUGUGAAAGCCCUGGGCUCAACCCAGGAAGUGCAUUUGAAACUGCCAUUCUAGAGUAUGGGAGAGGAGAGUGGAAUUCCCAGUGUAGAGGUGAAAUUCGUAGAUAUUGGGAGGAACACCCGUGGCGAAGGCGACUCUCUGGACCAAUACUGACGCUGAGACGCGAAAGCGUGGGGAGCAAACA